rnacentral:rRNA from 1 species
CCUACGGGAGGCAGCAGUGAGGAAUAUUGGUCAAUGGCCGUAAGCCUGAACCAGCCAAGUGGCGUGAAGGAAGACUGCCCUAUGGGUUGUAAACCUCUUUUAUGCGGGGAUAAAGUUGUCCACGUGUGGAUGUUUGCAUGUACCGCAUGAAUAAGGACCGGCUAAUUCCGUGCCAGCAGCCGCGGUAAUACGGAAGGUCCGGGCGUUAUCCGGAUUUAUUGGGUUUAAAGGGAGCGUAGGCCGGUCUUUAAGCGUGCUGUGAAAUUUUGUGGCUCAACCAUGAGAGUGCAGCGCGAACUGGAGACCUUGAGUGCGGGGAAGGCAGGCGGAAUUCGUGGUGUAGCGGUGAAAUGCUUAGAUAUCACGAAGAACCCCGAUUGCGAAGGCAGCCUGCCGCAGCGUUACUGACGCUGAAGCUCGAAAGUGCGGGUAUCGAACAGGAUUAGAUACCCUGGUAGUC